UAUAAAAGUAAAAGUAAUUUUAUUUUUGUAACUAAGUUUUUUAAUUGCUAAAAACAUAACAAUUUAUACUACAGAAAUAAAUUUAUUUCUCUAUUAAAAUUAAAUUUUUGAUGCGAAAAACUUGUGUUUUAUAAAAAGUAAGUUAUUUAAUAUAAAUAUUAAUUUGUUGAAAUUUAGGUUACAUCUUCUCAAUUUGAUUCCACUAUCUUCUAAAUUAUUAACCAUCCAAGAUUAAACUUUUAACUACAUUUAUAGGGUGUAAAUCUUAAAUUUUUGUACUAAAUAAAAUAUUUUAAAAAUCAAUUAAAAUAACUGUAACCCUCGUACAUACUUAAAAUUAGAUACUUACUUGUACAUUUUAAACAUUUGUUAUUACUUCUUCAUAAAUAUUGUUUAUGAAUCGAUUCACGAUUUUUACUUAUACCUUUUGAUAAAUAAAUUUUAUUUGCAAUAAAUCUAUAUUACAUAAUAGACAAAUAUGUUGAUACUUACUGUAUUAUGUACUGGUUAUAAUUUUAAAGAAAUUUUAAAAGCUAUACUUUUUCUUUUAUAGACUAGGUAGGUAUGUAUAAUAUAUACUUAUUUAACAAACUUUCACUUAAAUUUUAUUAGCUUCUAAUUUUUCAAAUAUUUUAUUUAAUAAUUAAUUGUAAUUUGUAUGUUUUUUUUUUUUUAGGAUGGAUCAUGACUCCUACAAAAUAAAAUCGGUCAAGUAAGAUUAUUAUGAUUUAAAGAAAAAUUAUUUGGUUAUGAUAUUAAUAUUAUUAAUUUAAAAUAAUAAAAACACUGUAAUUAUAAAAUAAAACACUUAUUAUGACAUCAAUUCGAGAUAAACAAAUUGCUGCGUUAAAGCAAAUGCUAAACUUAAAUAGUCCAGACUAUAAAGACAGUAGUUCAGAACCUGUAUGGAAAGUACUGAUAUAUGAUCGCCGUGGUCAAGAUAUCUUAUCACCAUUAAUUCCAAUUAAAGAACUAAGAGAAUGUGGUGUAACAUUACAUUUGAGCAUUCAUUCUGAACGUGAUCCCAUACCUGAUGUAGCAGCUAUUUAUUUUUGUAUGCCAGAUCAAGAUAAUCUUGAUAGAAUAUCUCAAGAUUUCCAAAACAAUGUCUAUGAAAAAUAUUAUUUAAACUUUAUCUCAGCUAUUUGCCGUCAAAAACUAGAAGAUUUGGCUAGUUCAGCUUUACAAACAGAAAAUGUUAUCCAUGUUCAUAAAAUUUAUGAUCAAUAUUUAAAUUUUAUAUCUUUGGAAGAUGAGUUAUUUUUAUUAAGUAAUCAGAAUUCUCAAUCAGUGUCAUAUUACGCAUUGAAUCGUUCAGAUGCAAAAGACACAGAUGUAGAAAUAAUGAUUGAUGAUACUGUUGACGGUUUAUAUUCUGUUUUUGUUACCCUUGGAACAUUACCUAUUAUUCGUAGUGCUCGAGGUAAUGCUGCAGAAAUGGUUGCUGAAAAAUUAGAUAAAAAACUUAGAGAGAAUUUAAGGGAUACUAGGAAUAGUUUGUUCUCGUCAGAGAAUUCUGGAAUUUACAAUUUUCAACGACCUCUUUUAAUUGUUCUUGACCGAAAUGUUGAUAUGGCAACACCUCUACAUCAUACAUGGACUUAUCAAGCAUUAGUGCACGAUGUAUUGAAGCUUAAUUUAAACAGGGUUACAGUGGUUCAUGAGCAAAAGAAACCAAAAACCUUUGAUCUGGAUCCAAAAGAUGCUUUUUGGAUGACUCACAAAGGAAGUCCAUUUCCUACAGUGGCAGAAUCAAUUCAAUCUGAAUUAGAGCAAUUGAAAAAUUCUGAAGAAGAAGUUAAACAACUAAAAGAAUCUAUGGGUUUAGAUGGAGAAAGUGAUGUGGCUUUAGCAAUGAUGAGUGACAAUACAGCUAAGCUGACAUCUGCUGUUAAUUCUUUACCCCAAUUAUUAGAAAAAAAAAGACUAAUAGACAUGCAUACAGAUUUAGCUACAAGCAUUUUAUCGGUGAUUAAAUCUCGACGUUUAGACUUACUAUUUGAAUUUGAGGAAAAAGUAAUGAGCCAAGCAUCAUUAGAUAAACAAAUAUUAGAUAUUAUAAAUGACCCAGAGGCAGGAACUGCUGAAGAUAAAAUGAGACUAUUCAUAAUUUACUAUAUUUAUACUCAUUCUAUAUUAGAUUCAGACAUGGAUAAUUAUUCUUCAGCUCUAGAAAAACAAGGUUGUGAUCUUAGUCCACUCAAAUAUAUUAAAAGAUGGAAAAUGUAUUCCAACAUAACGUCUACAACAAAUCAAUAUGGAGGGGGUACCAAAUCUGUUAAUAAUAUGUUUGAAAAACUACUUUCUCACACUUCUUCUUUUGUAAUGGAAGGUGUUAAAAAUUUAGUAGUUAAAAGACACACAUUUCCUGUGACUAGAAUUGUUGAUGAGUUAUUAGAAAAUAAACAGUCAUCUAGCACAUCAGAUGAUUUUCGGCAUUUUGAUCCAAAACAGUUACGGAACUCUGAUGGGUUUAAAUCCAAGAAUACUUUCAGCGAGGUUAUAGUAUUUAUAGUUGGCGGAGGCAAUUAUAUAGAGUAUCAAAAUUUAUUGGAAUAUGUAAAAAAUAAAACUGUGUCGCCUGGCAUGCCACAAUUAAGAAUUGUGUAUGGUUCAACUGUUAUAAAUAAUGCACCAGAAUUUUUAGAACAGCUAUCAUUGUUGGGUCAAGAAUUACACUAAUUUGUUUAAAUUUUUUUUCUAAAUUAAAUAUAU
rnacentral:lncRNA from 1 species